rnacentral:tRNA from 1 species
GCCGUCGUGGUGUAAUGGUCAGCACACUGAGCCGGUAUUUCAGAGGUCCGCGGUUCGAUUCCCGGCGAAGGCG